CAAAAAUUCGCUAUUUCAAAACUCAUCUACCCAAAUAUAUAUAUAUAUAUAUAUAUGGGGCCAAAAUCUUUUCUUCAUCCACAAAAUUGACCGAAAUUCAAUUUUUUUCAGACAGAAACUGUUUGUGUUUGCAAAGAAAGCGAGUCCAUCCAUAUUAAUGCUGAUAUGGUAUAUAUAGGUUUCACGUCGUCACUCGAUGAGCAGACACCAGUUCAUUCUGUCGCUUCCACACAGACUCCUGCACUGCCGCCGAGCCAUUCAACAGUUCCAUUCCCAUUUACUUGUACAUGAAAUUGAAAAUGUAAACAUACUACUCACGGUUUGGAACUCUAUAAUUAAACACUAUUCACUCAGUUCAUUCCCUAAUGAAGCUAUAUUUGUUUUCAAACAUCUCAUUUACAAAUAUAACCCUGUAUUUUUUGAUAGCUUUACAUAUUCCUAUCUCAUCAAAGCCUGUGCCAAUUUAAAACGACCCAGAAUAGGAAAUCAGCUGCAUUGUUUGAGCCUCAAAGUGGGGUUUGAGUUUCACGUCUAUGUGCAAACUGCAGUUGUUAAUAUGUAUGGAGAUUGUGGGAGUAUGGUUGAAGCGAAGAAAGUGUUCGAUGAAAUGCCUGAAAGGAAUUUGGUGACAUGGAAUGUUUUGAUAACCGGGUUUUGUAAGUGGGGUGAGAUUGAAUCGGCAAGGGCUGUUUUUGACGUGAUGCCGGAGAAGAAUGUGGUUUCUUGGACUGGUUUGAUAGAUGGGUGCACGAGGAUGAAUCAGUUCGAUGAAGCAUUGUCAUUGUUUCGAAGAAUGGUUGUGCACGAGGGCAUCAAGCCCACUGAAUUAUCUCUUCUUGCCAUUUAUCCGGCCAUUUGGAAUGUUAGGUGUCUCGAGUUUGGCCAAAUGGUUCAUGCUUAUGGAGAGAAAAGCGGGUUGAAUGCAUUUGAUAUUCGUGUCAUGAAUUGCCUCGUAGACGCAUAUGCUAAAUGUGGCAGUAUAGAGUGUGCACAGAGAGUUUUUGAAGAUAUAUUAGAUGAAAGGAGAAAUUUGGUUUCUUGGACAUCCAUAAUUUCUGGAUUCGCAAUGCAUGGAAUGGCUAAAGAAGCGACAGACUGUUAUAAAAGAAUGGAGGAUGAGAGUGUUAAGCCUAAUCGGAUCACACUUUUGAGUGUUCUAAAUGCUUGUAGUCACGGUGGAUUAGUGGACGAGGGGCUCGAGUUUUUCAGGAAGUUUGUUGAUAAAAGUGCUAUUGCACCGGACAUUAAGCACUAUGGAAGUUUGAUAGACAUGUUGGGAAGGGCAGGGAGAUUAGACGAAGCAGAGAAGAUAGCUUUAGAGAUUCCUACUGAGAUUGGUAAUGUUGUAGUUUGGAGGACACUUCUAGGUGCUUGUAGCUUCCAUGGUAAUGUUGAGAUGGGCCAGAGAAUAACACACAAAAUUAUGGAUAUGGAGAAGGAAUACGGCGGCGACUACGUGCUUUUGUCCAACAUAUUUGCUGGUGCUGGUAGGUAUGAGGAUUCUGAGAGAAUGAGGAGUUUAAUGGAUAGGCAAAAUGCUUCAAAAGUUCCUGGCCUUAGUCUGCUCUAACCAUUAGCAAUUCUUUCUUGCACAUUGCCCUCGAGAGAUACCUCAACGACUACAUCUUUCCAGAAUUAAUCGUCUUCCAUCAAAAGGUGGCCCGUGACAGCAAUACUGGAGACUAAUUACAAGUCAAAAGGUUCUUUGAAAUGAAAUUAUACUUCGAUAAUAAGGCACACCACCACCAUAAAUGUUCUUAUGGCCUUGUUGAGACUUGUGUUUUUGAUUAACAAUGGGGACAAAAUUUGUAAAGAAGAUAAAUUUGGACAAUGUGGGGCAGCUGCAACAACUAUGCAAUGGUAUUUGAUUGUAGAAAAUAAGGAAAGAAAAAGGUUGGUGGCGUUCUAUUAAACUUAAUCUUGAUUCUGACGAUGUUUGGUUACAACACAACCACUAUUCAUUAAAUGUUUUUGUUGAUGGAAUGGGCAGGUAUAAGGUAUCAGAGCACAAGUCGAGGAACUGCAGAUAGACGAGGAAAUUCUGGCUUAUCUUGGAGAUUUUGGACGGCAACCAUCCUUUAGGUUUUACUUCCCUGCAAAUUUUUUUAUUGGUCUCCGUUUUCUUAAUUAGCUUUGUUAUUUAUAAUCCACUUGUCAAUUUUUUUUUCCUGCAUAGCUGUUAAAAUGAAUGGUCGUAAUAAUAUUUGCAAGGUACUUAGAUAUAAGUUGGUUGAGGAUUCUAAUAGGUAUUUAUGAGGAGAAUAUUUACUCAGCUUUUGUCUUUUUGCAGGCAGAUCUCGAAGAAGUUGGUACUCUUUAUCUGGAAGCCAAGUCUUCUGCUUGGUCCUUUCAUGAGCAACAAAGGAAAUGUAUAUCAUCAUAAUAUGGUAUUUCCCUCAGUUUUUAAGUGAUAUAUUCAUAUGCUGGUUUCCCUGGAUUGGCCAAGAACUUUUGAUUCUUGAUUGUUGCAAUUUGUAAGAAAUUGAAAAUUUUGUUGGGAUAUAACAUGAAAAAUGUCUUAUUGGCCAUUGAGCU
rnacentral:lncRNA from 1 species